rnacentral:rRNA from 1 species
CCUACGGUGCGCUGCAGUGGGGAAUAUUGGACAAUGGGCGAAAGCCUGAUCCAGCCAUGCCGCGUGUGUGAAGAAGGCCUUCGGGUUGUAAAGCACUUUCAGUGGGGAAGAAAGCCUUGGGGCUAAUACCCUCGAGGAAGGACAUCACCCACAGAAGAAGCACCGGCUAACUCCGUGCCAGCAGCCGCGGUAAUACGGAGGGUGCGAGCGUUAAUCGGAAUUACUGGGCGUAAAGCGCGCGUAGCGGUCUGAUAAGCCGGUUGUGAAAGCCCCGGGCUCAACCUGGGAACGGCAUCCGGAACUGUCAGGCUAGAGUGCAGGAGAGGAAGGUAGAAUUCCCGGUGUAGCGGUGAAAUGCGUAGAGAUCGGGAGGAAUACCAGUGGCGAAGGCGGCCUUCUGGACUGACACUGACGCUGAGGUGCGAAAGCGUGGGUAGCAAACAGGAUUAGAUACCCUAGUAGUC